GGCAGUGGUGGCUCAAUGGUUAAGGCUCUGGGUUAUUUAUCAAGAGAUUGGGGUUCAAGCCCCAGCACUGCCA